GCCACUGCUAUUGGGGUUCGGCUAAGCCAUGCGAGUGGAGGGCGUCCCGCAAGGGAUGGCCCCGCAGACGGCUCAGUAACACGUCGUCAACCCACCUUAGGGUGGGGGACAACCUCGGGAAACUGAGGAUAAUCCCCCAUAGGCGGGGGAGGCUGGAAUGCGCCCCCGCUGAAAGCUCAGGCGCCCUAGGACGGGACUGCGGCCCAUCAGGCUGUUGGUGGUGUGACG
rnacentral:rRNA from 1 species